CCACGCCCGCUCAAGAAACUACAAAGGAAUUGACGGGGGCCCGCACAAGCGGUGGAGCAUGUGGUUUAAUUCGAUGAUACGCGAGGAACCUUACCUGGGCUCAAAUGUAUGUUGACGUAUUCUGAAAGGGAUACUUCUUCGGACAAUAUACAAGGUGCUGCAUGGUUGUCGUCAGCUCGUGCCGUGAGGUGUCGGGUUAAGUCCCAUAACGAGCGCAACCCCUAUCAUUAGUUGCCAUCAGGUCAAGCUGGGGACUCUAAUGAAACUGCCUACGCAAGUAGUGAGGAAGGUGGGGACGACGUCAAGUCAUCAUGGCCCUUAUGUCCUGGGCUACACACGUGCUACAAUGGCCGGUACAGAGCGCAGCGAAGCCGCGAGGCAAAGCGAAUCGCAAAAAGCCGGUCUCAGUACGGAUUGGAGUCUGAAACCCGACUCCAUGAAGUUGGAAUCGCUAGUAAUCGCGCAUCAGCAUGGCGCGGUGAAUACGUUCCCGGGCCUU
rnacentral:rRNA from 1 species